rnacentral:misc_RNA from 1 species
AGCACCAUGACCACCAACACCAGCACCAAUUAUGACUAAAUCAUAAUCAAACGACGUCGGAGCGCUGCCAUUUUCAGCCACUGAAGCUGAUACUACUAUUUUACUCCUUCGAAAAUUACACACUCUCUGAGUCUCACAUCGAUUAAGCUUCAAAAACUCAAACGCUAAAAUCUCAUUUCUCAGUCCACAGAACCGAAGAUUCUUCAAUGGCGUAAAAGAUA